rnacentral:rRNA from 1 species
UACGUAGGGUGCAAGCGUUAAUCGGAAUUACUGGGCGUAAAGCGUGCGCAGGCGGUGAUGUAAGACAGAUGUGAAAUCCCCGGGCUCAACCUGGGAACUGCAUUUGUGACUGCAUCGCUGGAGUACGGCAGAGGGGGGUGGAAUUCCGCGUGUAGCAGUGAAAUGCGUAGAUAUCUGGAGGAAUACCGGUGGCGAAGGCGGCAUCCUGGACCGACAUUGACGCUGAACGGCGAAAGCUAGGGGAGCAAACGGG